GUCAGAUGCUCCAGGCACCCAAGAAGGACCAAGGGGAUGCAGAACGCAGUGUCAGACACCCGGGUCGCCCUGGACAUCACAGAAAUCUCACGUGCCAGCGUCGGGAACCAGGAUCAAAGCUCUGCUUCCCUCACCCUGAUUCCCUGAGAUGGGAGGGGGAGGGGCAAGUGAAGAGAGAACUUAGCUUGGAAGGGCUGCUAAAGGAGAGCACAGUACAAGGAGACAAAACAAACCCUGAGAGUCAAGGAAGUUGAAGAGUGUACAAGGUCACUGCCUAGAAGAUUGGAAGCCAAGUUGUCUGAUGCCAGCACGGUCCGGUUACACAGGUGUCUACUGCAGCCUUGACCACUUGAGUAUGUGGGUCCUGGGACGGGGAAAGGGAGCAAAGUGACCAGUCACAGAGCAUCAGUGAAGACAACUGAACACUGACUUGGGGUCAUAUAUCCCUUCCUUGGCCGAGCUUCUUGGCCACCAUUGAAGAAAGUGGUUUUUCUCCGCCAUGGCAUUCCAUGUUUCUGUCUUGCCACAGACCUAAAACUCAGAGGGUCGUGGACUGAGAACUCUGAAGCCAGGAGCCAAAACCAAUCUUGACUCCUAUAAUUUGUUUUCUUGGACAUUUUGUUGCAACACAAAAACUGAUCAAGACACCCGGAUGUAGCUUUGGAGGGAGACUUCCCUAAACAUAUCCGAGUUUUUCUUUCAAAAGUCUAUUAACCCCAGAUGUGGUUGCUGAGAAUGAAAUCGAGAGCCAAGCAGAUGAUAGUCACCCAGCGUGGGCUCAGCACCUCAUUUCUGAAUUUGAGGUUGUGCACGGCUUAGCUCUCUCCCCUGAUCCCUGUGCACAGAUCUGUGGCCAGCAUGGCAGAUGGAGGAUGGGCUCAUGAAUGGUUCACAAAUCUAGUUAAAUGUCGACACUGGGAGACACAUUCCAGCCUGAAUUCAUUUAAAAGAAUAAGAGUUGGGGAGAAAGUUCUCAACUAACCUAUAUGCCCCUUUCUCCUCACUAAGCAGUUAAAGAAGAUACAUUUUAAAGCAUGUUUCUUUUCUUUUAUGUGCAUUAGUGUGAAGGUAUCAGAUCCCUUAGAAGGGGCAUUACAGAUAGUUGUGAGCUACCAUGAGUGCUAAGAAUUGAACCCGGGUCCUUUGGAAGAGCAGACAGUACUCUUAACCACUGAGCCAUCUCCUUAGCCCUGUAAA